rnacentral:rRNA from 1 species
GACUACUGGGGUAUCUAAUCCUGUUCGCUCCCCACGCUUUCGUGCCUAAGCGUCAAUAAUGAGCCAGAUGGCCGCCUUCGCCACCGGUAUUCCUCCUGAUAUCUACGCAUUUCACCGCUACACCAGGAAUUCUACCAUCCUCUCUCACAUUCAAGACUCACCGUAUCGAGGGCAUCUCCUUGGUUAAGCCAAGGUCUUUAACCUUCGACGUGCGAAUCCGCCCGCGCACCCUUUACACCCAGUAAUUCCGGACAACGCUCGCACCCUACGUAUUACCGCGGCUGCUGGCACGUAGUUAGCCGGUGCUUCCUUUGAUAGUACUGUCCCGACGGUUCUUACCGUUUUUCUUCCUAUCCGACAGCGGUUUACGAAGCAAAGCUCCUUCAUCCCGCACGCGGCGUCGCUGCGUCAGGGUUUCCCCCAUUGCGCAAAAUUCCUCACUGCAGCCCCCCGUAGG